AGGAAGUAAAAGUCGUAACAAGGUUUCCGUAGGUGAACCUGCGGAAGGAUCAUUAAUGAAAAUGUGUUGCCGGGGCCCAUAAUCCCGGCACUAACCUUCUUAUCCAUAACACCUGUGCACUGUUGGAUGCUUGCAUCCACUUUUAUACUAAACAAUUUGUAACAAAUGUAGUCUUAUUAUAAUUAAUAAAACUUUUAACAACGGAUCUCUUGGCUCUCGCAUCGAUGAAGAACGCAGCGAAAUGCGAUAAGUAAUGUGAAUUGCAGAAUUCAGUGAAUCAUCGAAUCUUUGAACGCACCUUGCGCUCCUUGGUAUUCCGAGGAGCAUGCCUGUUUGAGUGUCAUAAACCUCUCAAACCCAAGUUUUGGAUUUAUCCUUGCUUGAGUUUGGAUUUGGGUGUUUGCCAGUGAUGAACUGACUCACCUUAAAAGUAUUAGCUAGAUCUGUCUUUGACUGGUUUGACUUGGCAUAAUAAGUAUUUUGCUAAGGACAUCUUCGGAUGGCCAGGACUUGACUUU
rnacentral:misc_RNA from 1 species